UUGAACACAAGAAGGCAUCGGCCUCCUUUUGGCAUUCUUGCUUUCAUCUCAAAGUCACAUUUUAAAAUUUAUAUUUAAAAAAAAAGUCAGGGCAAGGGGCCAGCCCGGCUCGCGCGGCCACUGGUGCCAGAACCCCCAACACGGCAGCUACAGGAAUGAAGGCUGUGGAGGAUUAGUGGAGGAAUUAGGACCAUACAGUGGAGCGGUGCUUCACGCCAGCUUCUGAGAGCUCGCCGAGUGCUCUGGAGGCUGGGCCUUGGUACGAUGUGGGCUUUGCAGAGCAGGAGGCCUGCGGGUAUGGAAUGAGCCCCACUCACAAUAGUCCAUUUGGAGGAAGUUUUCUAAAAGCCUUGGAGAACAGAACACUGAAGCCUGUGUGGACGCCCAUUCGGGGUCUGAUCAGCGUGGUCAGCAGGAAAUGCUGUCUCUUUCCAAUCCAGAUCCAUUAUGCUGCUGGGGAAUUUGCUUCCACAAGCUUCUAUGGACACUGGUGACCAGGAUUGGAAGAAAAGCCCUGAGUGCAAUGGCUUGCGCUCUCUUCUUUCUCCUCUGGAUGCUCCCUUUCCCGGGAGCUGGGGGCAGGAUUCUGAAAACAGCAGGCCAGUUUCCUUCCUGUGUCAUGAUCGUGACCAAUACUGAUGCUGGGGGUCCUGGCCUGACUUUGGCUUGACGGCUGCACCUUUGGUUACCACGAAGUCCCUUCUGAAUUCUGAGAAUAGAACCAUCACUGCAGCUGCGGGCCUGAGUAGCCGAGGUGUCUCCCUUGGCACGCUCCUCUCUCCAGGCGUCCCUACGGCCUGAGGCGCUAUCCCCAACAAGUCAAGCUUCCCAGCCUGCACGGGGAUGGAGCCCGCGCCUGUUCUGCUUGCAUCUAUGCUCCAGCUCAAAGAGCAGCUGGGGAUUCCUGGCCUUAUUUCCUCCCGUGGCAUAGAUGGGUGAGACAGUGGAGGUGGAGCCUUGGCAUUUUAGUGUGUAGUCACACCUUCUGCAUCAAGAGAAGCAACGGGUGGGGCGGGGAGCUGAGCUUGUUUUUUUUUGCAAUAAACAGCACGUGGUGUCUUUUCAGCGUUCUUAA